rnacentral:rRNA from 1 species
UCGAGAAUCUUCCGCAAUGGGGGCAACCCUGACGGAGCGACGCCGCGUGCGGGAUGAAGGCCUUCGGGUUGUAAACCGCUGUCACAGGUUAAGAAUCGGCCUAGUCUUAAUAGGGUUAGGUCCUGACAAAGGCCUGAGAGGAAGCCACGGCUAACUUCGUGCCAGCAGCCGCGGUAAGACGAAGGUGGCAACCGUUGUUCGGAAUCACUGGGCAUAAAGCGCACGUAGGCGGGAGAGCAAGUCGGGUGUGAAAUCCCUCGGCCCAACCGAGGAACUGCGCCCGAAACUGCUUUUCUUGAGGGCAGCAGGGGAGCGUGGAAUUCCUGGUGGAGCGGUGAAAUGCGUUGAUAUCAGGAGGAACACCGGCGGCGAAGGCGACGCUCUGGGCUGUUUCUGACGCUGAGGUGCGAAAGCCAGGGGAGCAAACGGGAUUAGAUACCCCCGUAGUCC